UUAUUACUUUACAUGAAUUAUGUUCACAUUAUUAAUAUGAGUGUAUAAUUAUAAGACUAGCCAGUUAGUAGCUCAAGCUAGGUCGGCCUUUCGACAACUUGCUUAGUCCCUUUUUCUGGAAGUUGAGAACUGUGGUGAGGAUGCUAAUGCAUCCAUGGAAAAUAUAUCAAUGCAUGAUUCUCAUCUUCUUUCUUACACCUUUAAUUGACGGGCAAAGGUUAUUUUCAAAGCGAGGAAAAAUCUCCCAAAAAACCUGGGAUCAGUCAAUUCAGACGCAG